UGCUGGUCCAAAGGUAGUGAUUAAUCUCAAUAGAUUGUUCACAGUCAGUUACAGAUUCAGUUCCUUUUUCUACUCUCUACCCCCUUCUCACUACUGUACUUGACUAGUCUUAA
ensembl:misc_RNA Y_RNA Y RNA